rnacentral:rRNA from 1 species
CUUGAAAUAUCGGUUCUCGUACGACCACCGAAGUUAAGCAAUGUUGAGUUUGGCCAGUGCCUAGAUUGGUAACCGCUUGGGAAUAUCAGGUGCUGUAAG